UACGUAGGGACCGAGCGUUGUCCGGAUUCAUUGGGCGUAAAGAGCUCGUAGGCGGCUGUUCAAGUCGAACGUGAAAACUCGGAGCUCAACUCCGAGCCUGCGUUCGAUACUGGACGGCUAGAGUCUGGUAGGGGGAUCUGGAAUUCCUGGUGUAGCGGUGGAAUGCGCAGAUAUCAGGAGGAACACCGGUGGCGAAGGCGGCAUCCUGGACCAACACUGACGCUGAGGAGCGAAAGCCAGGGGAGCAAACGGG
rnacentral:rRNA from 1 species